rnacentral:rRNA from 1 species
UGACGUAACGAUACAACUAGCGUUCCGCCGCUGGCAAACACGCCUUGGCGGGCAGCUUCCCGGAAACGAAAGUUUUUCGGUUCCGGGGGAAGUAUGGUUGCAAAGCUGAAACUUAAAGAAAUUGACGGAAGGGCACCACCAGGAGUGGAGCCUGCGGCUUAAUUUGACUCAACACGGAAAAACUCACCUGGCCCGGACACCGUGAGGAUUGACAGAUUGAGAGCUCUUUCUUGAUUCGGUGGUUGGUGGUGCAUGGCCGUUCUUAGUUGGUGGAGUGAUUUGUCUGGUUUAUUCCGAUAACGAGCGAGACUCUAGCCUACUAAAUAGUUACUGGAUAAUUGAGUCCAGAAGACUUCUUAGAGGGACAAGCGGUGUUCAGCCGCACGAAGUUGAGCAAUAACAGGUCUGUGAUGCCCUUAGAUGUCCAGGGCUGCACGCGCGCUACACUGGAGGAAUCAGCGUGCUGUAACCAUUGCCGAAAGGCAUUGGUAACCCCUUGAAAAUCCUCCGUGAUCGGGAUCGGGAAUUGCAAUUAUUUCCCUUGAACGAGGAAUUCCCAGUAAGUGUGAGUCGUCAGCUCACGUUGAUUACGUCCCUGCCCUUUGUACACACCGCCCGUCGCUGCCCGGGACUGAGCCGUUUCGAGAAAAGCGGGGACCGCUGCUUCGGGGCCUUUCGGGGCACUGAUGCGGCCGAGAACCGCCUUAAUCGCAGCGGCUUGAACCGGGCAAAAGUCGUAACAAGGUUUCUGUAGGUGAACCUGCG